rnacentral:piRNA from 1 species
UUAGAGCUGAAUCGCUGAGUGUGUCU